rnacentral:rRNA from 1 species
ACGGCUCAGUAACACGUGGAUAACCUACCCUUAGGACUGGGAUAACCCUGGGAAACUGGGGACAAUACCAGAUACAUGGAGAUGCCUGGAAUGGUUCUCCACUUAAAUGUUCCGACGCCUAAGGAUGGGUCUGCGGCCGAUUAGGUAGUUGUUGGGGUAACGGCCCAACAAGCCUUUGAUCGGUACGGGUUGUGGGAGCAAGAGCCCGGAGAUGGAUUCUGAGACACGAAUCCAGGCCCUACGGGGCGCAGCAGGCGCGAAAACUUUACAAUGCGGGAAACCGUGAUAAGGGAACUCCGAGUGCCCGUAAACGCGGGCUGUCCAUCUGCUUAAAAAACAGGUGAAGAAAGGGCCGGGCAAGACCGGUGCCAGCCGCCGCGGUAAUACCGGCGGCUCGAGUGGUGGCCACUAUUACUGGGCUUAAAGCGUCCGUAGCUUGGUUGUUAAGUCUCUUGGGAAAUCUGUCGGCUUAACCGACAGGCGUUUAAGGGAAACUGGCAAUCUAGGGACCGGGAGAGGUGAGAGGUACUCCAGGGGUAGGAGUGAAAUCCUGUAAUCCUUGGGGGACCACCUGUGGCGAAGGCGGCUAACUGGAACGAACCUGACGGUGAGUAACGAAAGCCAGGGGAGCAAACCGGAUUAAAUACCCGGGUAGUCCCAGCCGUAAACGAUGCGCGUUAAGUGUAUCGGUGACCACGAGUCACCGAGGUGCCGAAGGGAAACCGUGAAACGUGCCGCCUGGGAAGUACGGUCGCAAGGCUGAAACUUAAAGGAAUUGGCGGGGGAGCACA